rfam:TPA: Bos taurus chromosome 4, whole genome shotgun sequence.
UCUCUAGUAGCUCAAAUGGUAAAGUGUCUGCCUGCAAUGCAGGAGACCCAGGUUCAAUCCCUGGGUUGGGGA